AGAUCUAUUUCAUGUGUUCAACUGAAGUGUGCUCCCCAGAACACCGUGUUUGUAAUGAAGGAUGCUUUGAUGGGAGAGAGAUGCCUAUUCCAGUAGAUCUUAGUGUGGGAGGGCACUGUGCAGAAAAGCCCUGUCCUGGGAAAUCCAGUGUAGCCAAGCGAUCUGCUUAUGGUCAUACUGGCUUCAUCAGUGAAGGAACCUUCCUUUUGGAUGAGACUGUCUCCUAAUGAACAGAAGCACUGGAUGCAUGUCCAUGGACUCCUGGGGCUGCUUGGUUUGCUGAUCCUGGUAUCUGGCUCUUCCUCAAAAGGGUUGUU